CAAAAAGAAAAAAAUCUCCUUGGCAAAGACAGUGAAGGGCUGAGGGGAAGCAGCAGAUUCUUGUCAGUGUUUGGGAAACGCAGAGGGAAACCUUGCUUCUUUUCCCUGCUUCCUGCUUCCAAGGUCUCUUUGGAUUCUGGAAACAGAGAGUCAGUGAAGCCAGUGACACCCUCAAACCAUUCAAAGGAGUUGCGUUUACACCAACAGGCCUGCAUCAUUCUUAGAGCCAGGGGAGCAGGAGGAGGAAAAGGAGGAGACACGAUAAAAACCAGCUCUGAGGACUCCCUCUUCUGGGCUUACUGGCAGCUCCAAAUUCUCAUUUGCGUCAAUUAAGCAAUGAAAAGGAAAGGGAAGAGGGAAAUGAAUUUGUUACUUUCUUUAGUUGGGGUUCCUGUCGCUGUGAUGAAACACCAUGACCAAAGCAAGCUGCCUUCUGUCUGCCUCUCCCCUUUGCUGGGAGGUAAAGGCACGCUGACUGCCAGGCCUGAAGCCUGGGUUUUACUCCCCAGGGCUUACAUGAUAGAAGGAGAAAACCAACACCCACAGAAUGUGGCUCACGCUCCCCAGCCUGCCACACCCCAACAGUUGCAUUGGCAAGCUACCAGAAGGACAAUGGUGAACCAGCCCCAAUUGGAUGUGGGAGACCUCUAAGAGCAACAGUGUGAAGAGACCAGCUCCUCUUUCGGCAGCCAUAACAGCCGAACACAUGCUUUUCUGACCUUGUCCUAGACACUAGAAAGUUAGAUGCCUGCCUCGUGACAAGGAACCAAUCAGAGGUUAGCUGGUGGCGCUAUGCUUUACGGCUCUGGGUGUGCUUUAUGGACAAGUGCACAGCAAUGACGCACAGAGCAUAGCAACCACCCCAGGAGGGCCUAUGGGCCAUAACAACCAGUUGGCCAAUCAACACAGGGCAACCCUCCAAGCCUGGAGACACACCAAUCCUGAGCCUGUGCGUACCCCUAGACACUCCCCUUAUGCUGCCCUACAAGAUCUCUUGGGAGCCCCUAGGAGCUGUCUUUUGCAAGCCAUCCGCCAUGGUGGGUGGGUGAAAGACCCGAGCUAACAUGGGGUUAGCUCGUUAAAUUACAAUAAAGCCUCGUGCAGUUUGCAGCAAGCUCUCAAAUCCGCCUGGUGAUUGGGGUGACCGUGGUCAUGGCCUGGGAUCCCGGAUACCUGAGUUUUCCGGGGGUCUAACAAGUGUCAGCAUGUGGC
rnacentral:lncRNA from 1 species